rnacentral:rRNA from 1 species
CAUGGUUUAUCCUGCCAGUAGUACAUGCUUGUCUCAAGGAUUAAGCCAUGCAAGUGUAACUAUGAGUGAGUUAUACAACGAAAAUGUGAAUGGUUCGGUAAAACAGCUAUAUUUUCUUCGGUGGUAAAUACUACUUGAAUAACCGUAGUAAUUCUAGAGAUAAUACAUGCCAUAAAAGCGGCGCUUGCGCCGUGGUAUAAAUUGGACAUACGAGCCAAUGUUUGGUGAUUCACAGUGAUUCUCUGAUUGCACAUGAGUGCGAUGCACCGUUCAAAUUUCCGACCUAUCAACUUUUGAUGGUAAGGUAUUUUCCUACCAUGGUUGUGACGGGUAACGGACCUUGGAUGGGAGGCUCCGGAGAGGGAGCCUGAGAAACGGCUACCACAUCCAAGGAAGGCCGCAGGCGCGCAAAUUACCCAAUCCGGACACCGGGAUGUAGUGACAAGAAAUAGCAAUCGAGGGCUCAACUAGUUUUCUAAUUGGAAUGAGAAAAAGGUAUACAUAUUAUCGAGGAACCAGCAGAGGGCAAGUUUGGUGCUAGCAGCCGCGUUAAUUCCACCUCUGUAAGCGUAUACCAAAGUUUUUGCAGUUAAAACGCUCGUAGUAGGAGUUUGGCGGGGCGGGCUGGGCGUAUUUACGGACUGAUCUGGAGCUGGCCGACUUUGUGGAGGGGGCCCGGGCGUCGCCUCACUGCAGCAGCGUGGUCGCUGGUACCGUUUACUGCAAAAAAAUGAUAAAGUUAUAGUUUUCAAAGCGGGCUUUUGCCAGGAAUACAUUAGCAUGGAAUAUUUGAAUAGGACUUGUUUCCUACUUUGUUGGUUUGUGAGGAACGGGUAAUGACUAGGAGGGACAGUAAAAGAUAUUUUUAAUCCGGCCUCAGAGGUGAAAUUCUUGGAUUUUCGGAAGACAAACGGCUGCGAAAGCGUCUGCUUAGGAAGUUUUCAUUGACCAAGAAUGAAAGUAAGGGGAUCGAAGACGACCAUAUACCGUCUUAACCUUUACUAUAAAUGAUGAGGACUGAGGAUCGAGCAGGACUGGAAAUUUGGCCUACCCGCCGCCCUUAGGGAAACCAAAGUGUUUUCUUUCUGGAGAGAGUAUGGUCGCAAGGCUGAAACUCAAAGGAAUUGACGGAAGGGCAUUACCGGGUGCGGAGCUUGCGGCCUAAUUUGACUUAACACGGGGAAACUUACUAUUUCCGUAUAUAUUGAUGAUUGAAAGAUUGAGAGCUCAUUCUUGAGUCAUAUAGUUGUUGUUGCAUGCUCGUUCUUAAAUGGUGGAGUGAUCUGUCUGGUUAAUUCCGUUAACGAUCGAGACCUGGGCGUGCUAGCUAGGCGCGAAUACCGCUUUUGGUUGCCCCUUAUUAAGCUUGGGAACAGUCUGGCUUUAGUUUCUAGCUCAAAAGAUUUCAUAAAAGAACUCAUGGAAAAAGUUCCAUAUCCUCUUCACAAGGGUGUUUCAGAGAAGAAUAGUCAGACUUGAUAUUUAAAAUUUUUCAUCUUACUGAUUCCAACUCAUUUGGAAAUCAAAUGGAAUUGAAGUUGAUUAGCAUCCCUUAAUUAUCAAAAAGGACUCAUGUAAUAUAUUACCAAAACUAACGUAUUCAUUUAUAUCCUCAGAAAAUUUUUUCUCGUUAUCAUAAUACUCAAUAUAUUUUCUAUAUUUGAUGAUUCAAGAUGCGAGAAUA